GGGGGUGUAGUUCAGUGGUAGAAUGCUUGUCUUGUAUGCACAGAAUCCUGGGUUCUAUCCCCAGCACCUUCA